CGGUCCCUUCUGUUUGCAAAGCCUGGGUUGCAGGGUAUGCCAGGACAGCACCUCUCCUCUGGUUCCCACUGGGGACUCCACAGGCAGCUGCUGGGGCUGUGUUUAUAUCGUCGUGUUCAAGGCACCAGCACCAGCCCAGCUCUCUCUCCCCUAGCCACCCUCCAUGUGGAAAGAGGCCAAAUGGGAGCAGUUCCCCAGCCGUUUCCCCUCUGUGCCGCUGGUACCAACUUGGAACCUGAGACCUGUGACACGGUGGCCCAACUGAAGCCUGGGGUUCCAACGGGGCCUCCAACCCAGGACCGGCUCAGAGGAGCCCUGUGACACUUGGUACUGUCAUCUCUUGUGGGUUGCAUCACCGCCUGGAGCAUCGGAAGGGCAGCAGGUGUCACCCAGAUGGAGGAGAGGCCCCAGAUGGGGCUCCUGCUCUGCGGCUACCCUCCCUGCCCGCUGCAACGCCAGGCCACCUAACACGUCCAUCACGUCAGUUGCAUCAGAGAGCGCGCAACUCUCCCUUCCUUGGCCUCUGUCCUCACCCGGCUGCAGUUGUACCCCCGGCUUCCCCUUUGCCUCUACUUAGGCGCUUGCUUCUCACGGCCCAGGUGUUGGACACUUGGUCCCAUCAGGCCUUUCCUGGGUGGAGACCAAGGGGACUUCAGAUCCCUGCAGGUUGGGGAACGAUGGAAGACCUUCCCUUGGGCCUUGAUGGGAUUCGUGUGUGCUUUCACAACAAAGUGGCAUCUUCCACUCUGCUCCUUAUUGUGGUCUUGUUUCAAAGCUCCCCCCUCUGUUCUUCUACCCUGUCCCAGCCAGAGAUGGGGGGAUCCCCCCACUGUGAAAAUCUCAGCGCUUGUGAGGGGCAGGAAUCAUGAUGUGGAUCCGAAAGCUAAAGAUGCACUA
rnacentral:lncRNA from 1 species